AGUUUAGGUCCACUGGAAAGGCCACCUGAGCAGGCUCGGUGGGUCCUGCAGACUUGCAGCACAGGUUGGGCCCUGGGCCAGGGCUGGAGCAGCAUUCUUUGCCCAGAGGGGUCCUCUCUUUCUCCCUUUAAAGAUAGGAUAAUCGACGGGCAUGGUGGCACACACUUUUGGUCCCAGCACUCUGGAGGCUGAAGCUGAGGAUCUAAGAAUGCUCAUAUUCAUAAGGCAGAGAGGACCCCCAACUCAAGACGCAGUACAGAAGUUGCAGUGGUUAACGUAGAAAUCGGAACUGUGUAAAGUGCAAAGACUGAGCGUCAGUGGAGU
ensembl:lincRNA 2310069B03Rik RIKEN cDNA 2310069B03 gene